rnacentral:rRNA from 1 species
CCUACGGGUGGCAGCAGUGGGGAAUAUUGGGCAAUGGGCGCAAGCCUGACCCAGCAACGCCGCGUGAAGGAAGAAGGCUUUCGGGUUGUAAACUUCUUUUGUCAGGGAAGAGUAGAAGACGGUACCUGACGAAUAAGCCACGGCUAACUACGUGCCAGCAGCCGCGGUAAUACGUAGGUGGCAAGCGUUGUCCGGAUUUACUGGGUGUAAAGGGCGUGUAGCCGGGUUGACAAGUCAGAUGUGAAAUCCUGCGGCUUAACCGCAGAACUGCAUUUGAUACUGUUGAUCUUGAGUAAUGGAGAGGCAGGUAGAAUUCCUAGUGUAGCGGUGAAAUGCGUAGAUAUUAGGAGGAACACCAGUGGCGAAGGCGGUCUGCUGGACAGCGACUGACGGUGAGGCGCGAAAGCGUGGGGAGCAAACAGGAUUAGAUACCCGUGUAGUC